GUGAAGAACGUAGUGAAAUGCGAUAAGUAGUGUGAAUUGCAGAAUUCAGUGAAUCAUCGAAUCUUUGAACGCACAUUGCGCCCCUUGGUAUUCCAUGGGGCAUGCCUGUUCGAGCGUCAUUUGUACCUUCAAGCUUUGCUUGGUGUUGGGUGUUUGUCUCGCCUUUGCGUGUAGACUCGCCUUAAAAUAAUUGGCAGCCGGCGUAUUGAUUUCGGAGCGCAGUACAUCUCGCGCUUUGCACUCAUAACGACAGCGUCCAAAAGUACAUUUUACACUCUUGACCUCGGAUCAGGUAGGGAUACCCGCUGAACUUAAGCAUAUCAAUAAGCGGAGGA
rnacentral:misc_RNA from 1 species